UACAGUCACGUGAAAUUCAGCCCUCAUUUCACCAUGCUGUGGUCUGACCCAGAUGGCUGCCACAGCAAGCUCUGCCGCUUAUGGACUCUGAGUCCUCUGCCUGGGACCUGGGGAUAAAUUUGGCUGUAGACACUG
rnacentral:snoRNA from 1 species